rnacentral:lncRNA from 1 species
AAAUAUAGCCCAACAAGAUGAAAAUGUAAAAGUGAUAAUUAAAAAAUAGCCAAAAUAUGUAAAUGACGUCAUUUGCAUCUAUCGUCUGCUUCAGUUGAAGUUUCGUACGGGGAUGAAGACGUUUUAAAUUAAGGAAAUUGCUCGUAAAGUAAAUUAUUUGAAUAAUUAAUGUUAAAUUUAAUGCAAAUGACUCGUGUACGUUGUUUAUCUACGAUAUUCUUUUCCCCUUUUUCUGCUUACAAACUUUUAGGCCUAAAGCUAAUUUUCUCGAGCUUUAUUCUUCAUCACAAACUGAUCAUCUUUGGUCUUCCGUGUGGUGAGAUAGUGAUAGUGAGAAGCCACUAUUAAAAUUUCAUAUACCUGAAAGAGAAAGUGACAAAGGAUAUUUACCUUUUUGACGCCAACAAACAAAAUGAUGCCAGUUAGAAGAUAAAAUGAGCAAUGUAUGAAAGAAUAAUAAUAAAACGG